CUAUAUAAACGAGCCAAUUCCAAUCACAUUCUUCCUUCAUUCCACAACAACAACUAUAGACGAAAGUUAUAAUUGAGAGAUUUUUAUAUUAGUUAAGGUUUGCAUUUCAUUUUUGAAAAAAUAUCUUAUACAAUAUAUCACACAAAAAAUGGAGGUACCUAUGCCGUCUAUGUUGCCACACAUUGAAAGAAGUUCAUCGAUUGAAAGGGAGCCUAGAACUCUAGGUAUCGACCAAAUUCAAUCUGCAAGGGCUUUAGCAAUGUAUAUAUUUAACACAAAGACCUUUGAAGAAGCUUCCAGAAUUUUCACCGAGGUAGUCAUUGCCAUUUUAUUCUACUAUACUAUACGGGAUUGGAACCAGUGGUUAGUGGUGCUUGCAGUAUGGGAUCCGUUAACAUGAAUUCGGGUGAAGAAUUGGAACUAAUGGCCCAACAAGCAUCACUAGAAGCAUUCAGGGACAUAGCAUCUGCACCUUUCUAGCUUACUCAACUUAAAUAUAUAACUCAUUAAGUGUUCAUAUGAUCUUGAAUUUAAUAUACUUAGUUAGCUUUUGUAUAUAUAUAGAUAUAUGAUAGUAUAUAUAUGCCAACAAUUCCAUUUGAUAAUUUAUUCAUCUUUCUUGGAUGCCUUUUUCCAUUAUGAUUUUGUACACCACAAAUAAUUAUAAGAAUAUUUGAUCUUGCUUCA